UUGCCUACGGGGGGCAGCAGUGAGGAAUAUUGGUCAAUGGCCGCAGGGCUGAACCAGCCAAGUCGCGUGAGGGAUGACGGUCCUAUGGAUUGUAAACCUCUUUUGUCAGGGAGCAAAGGGCGCCACGUGUGGCGUUUUGCGAGUACCUGAAGAAAAAGCAUCGGCUAACUCCAUGCCAGCAGCCGCGGUAAUACGGAGGAUGCGAGCGUUAUCCGGAUUUAUUGGGUUUAAAGGGAGCGCAGACGGCAGGGCAAGUCUGAUGUGAAAGUCCGGGGCUCAACCCCGGGACUGCAUUGGAAACUGUC
rnacentral:rRNA from 1 species